AAUAGUGAAAUCUUUCGAAUCGUUUCCCGCUAAAGCCAUGCUAUGCGGGGGCGAUCUGAGCAAAGGCUCACAGGGUCGGCAUAGAAAUGUACCGGCCUCCCGCAAAGGGGUAUCCUGUCUGGGAUGCCUCAGGAAAGAAAGGUGCAAAGACCCAGA
ncrna:Desulfitobacterium hafniense DCB-2 Moco (molybdenum cofactor) riboswitch